UGGGGGACAAAUUGAAGUAAAAACAUAAUGAAUGUGGAAGGAUGAGUGUAUUAGAUUUCAGACAGGUAUAUUGCAUGAUGCAGUUUAGCAGUUAACAUCCUAUCAUGCUCUGUGGCAUAUGUAAAUGAGGGAAUAUAUUUUGGAAGAAUGGAGCUCCAUCCCCCUGAGUUACAGAGACUUCUAUGCCAAGGCUCAUUCAAGCCGUUAACACCUGAAUAACACACUGUUGUGUUUUCUUUUCACUAGUUACAUUUCUUUUGGUUCCAGUACAUUUAACAACAUCAGUCUUACAAGAAAUAUUCACUCCAACACACAGAGAGCAGCUGUGGAGAGGAAACUGUCAGGCUCUGGAGGAGACCCUCCACGGACCUCUAAAAGGGUCUCUGUAGGUCGUGGCAAGCCGAGGGGAAGGCGAGGAGGGCGACGCCAAGCCUCAGCUACAGUCACACACCCCCGGUUGAGUGUUCCCUGUCAUCCAGCGUGGAGGUUCCCUCAGAAAUACUAAAUCCUUAAGAGGAAUUUGAGAAAAAUAUGGAGAGGCUCUCAAACAUUUUGGCAUCAUGUCCUUCUGCUGAGCCUCAAAGAAGCUCUGCUUCAUCAUGGUCUUUUCGGCAGCAGAAAGCCUCAGAGCGCUGGAAAGAGGCAAGACCAUACCACCUACGAUGCCUUAUCGCAAAGGAGGCUGUUGGUCAUCCCUCGUGUUGCCUUUUUCAAUAAUAUUAAACUUGAAUUACCCAGGGUCGGUUUGCUGAGAAUUAAUGCUCAGUGCUUUAUAAGCUAAGAUGCAUGUCUUGUGGAAUGGUAGAAAACUUGGACACCCAGAUGAAAACCACAUUAAUGAGAAAAGUAAAUCUAGGAACGUUGUGCUGUGAGGUGAUAGUGCUAAACACUGAGCUACUGUGCAGUCCUAUAAAAUCAGAUCAGAACUAAUCAAAGUACAUUUGAAAUAAAUUAUUCACCUGAAAUAAUGUAUAUUAGAAUGUUUUUUUCUCUCUAGGUGCAGAGAGUGUCUUCCUGAGGAUUGGUUCUGUGGGGACUGUGAUGUAUUGCAUCACAAAAAACAGCCUCUCCACAACAGGGAAAGUGUGAUUCAUGGGUUUUUUGAAGCCAUUCCUCCAGCCUCAUGCAUCAUUAAAGGAGAUGGUGGAUAUUGCACUUAUGAGCACGGUACGUUCACAUGAAAGUCCUAAUUUUGCUGUUCAUGUGUGUCAGCAGCCAGUUACAGAUCAUCUAAAUUAGUGGUUUUCAUUCUUUUUGCCAGCUUGCAUUUUGCCAACUGUGAAGGUGCCAGACUGCUCCUGUGAAGGCACAAACUUCACUGUAUUACCAGGCAAACCAGUGAUUAUCUGGGGAAUAAUAUGAGCUUUGUUAAUUUUGAAUUUUGACAUCAUAAAUGUAAACUCCCCAGGAGUGUUUUUUGACGUUUCAUAUCAGGCCUCCUCCAAUCACACUCCAUCACAGUGAGAAAAGAAGAAAUAUUUUUAUUUGAACAGACCAAACCAUAAUGUAUCAGAAUAUACUCAGUGUAAAGAUAAACAUUUUACCAAAUAAAAACAAAAUAUUUAGUUUCAAA